AUCCAGCUGACGUGUUUGAAAUAAGACGAAACGUGCGUCGUGUAU
rnacentral:hammerhead_ribozyme from 1 species